rnacentral:lncRNA from 1 species
CCCAAGUUCAGAAGUUUAAUACAUUUCAAGAUAGUAAGUUUCAAAAUACCGACAACAAAAGAUUACUAGAACAUUCAUUUAUAGCAAUUCAAAAUUUAUCUUAAGUAAGGUCUAUAUCUUCAUUGCCUUCAUCUUCUAUUUCUUGAUCUACUCCACCUACAAAAGAGGACAAAUAAAGUCAUUACCUUUCAUCUUGAAUGCUUAGACUAAAUAAAUUGAUCGAACAAGAAAAAGAAAAUAAUGGACAUACAAGAUGCUAGUCAUGAGCCUAAUUCUUCUAUAAAAACACAUUAUCAAGACCCAAAUUUGGAAUAC